ACCACUGAUCAGGGUGCUAACAUGGGAGAGUGGGGUUCAAUUCCUUCCUCUGCUAGACCUCCUUUGUGACUUUGCCUCAGCUCCCCCUCUGUAAAAUGGGAAUAUUAGUACUUCCCUAGCUCCCAGGGGUGCAGUGAGGCUAACUACAUUAAAGCAGUGUGAGGCUUUCAGAUACUGCUGUAUUGGGGGGAUGUGGUGGAAGAUGAGGAACUAUUUGAAUAGGGAGGCCAUUUCCUGUCAUAGAGAAACUCUGUUAAGAGUGAAGGUUCACGUGAAGAGAAGAACAACACUUUGGAAUAAGGGCAUGUCUACAUGAGCACUUGCUAUGUGGCAAAGUGAGGCGUAAAUCUACAGUGCUCCAGUGGCCUGUGCAAGUGAAUCCAACCACUGUGGAUGAAAGGUUCCCUUGUGUGCAUGGAUAAAUUGUGGUUUGAAAUUAUUUUGAACCUUCAUACAGCAAGUGACACUAGCUUUACACAAAGUCCACACUAUUGCAAGAUCUUCCAUAGCAACUCUUUAUGAGUGGAGUCAAAACCUUCGGUGAAAUCUAUGGCGUUCAGGAUUAAUCUUCUCUGGUUUCUUGGCGAAAACAACAACAACAAAAGUGAAAAAAAUGGAUUUCAG